rnacentral:rRNA from 1 species
GUCUAUGGCCAUGCCACCCUGAACUAGCCCGAUCCUGUCUGAUCUCAGAAGCUAAGCAGGAUUGGACUUGAUUAGUACUUGGAUGGGAGACCAAUUAGGAAGACCAAGUGCUGUAGGCA